CCUGGCACCUCGGUGACUGCACUGCAGUCCGAAACCGACAAUUUACAACCUGCUAGCCAGGCUCCGCGAUGUGCUCAGCGUACUCCGUUCACCGUAGCGGCAAUGGGGAAGAUGUCGGUGCCACAGACGGAAGAGUGCCACAGAAAGGUCACAGCACACAUAGUCAAAAGACUGCAUCCCUUUUCAGAGGUGGAAUCUCCAACAUUUAGGGAUAUGGUGAAAACUCUCAACCCAAAAUACAUACCACCUUCCAGGGACUACCUGUCAAACACAUUGAUCCCGGCAUGGUACAAGAAGAAUCGGAAUCGAGAAUCGUCAGGAAUCGG